ACGCUGCAGAAAGGGUUUGGAUGCGUGACGCGUUUGAAGGACAAGCAUCGACAGCAAUAUCGGGUAGUUCAAUAGACUGACGAGGCUUGCCAAACUUCUUUAAAUAAUCAGAGAUGAGAUUAGAAGCGUUUUCAACAGAUUCACUGGAUCGUGUAAAGAAUGAAGGCAAUAUACAGACUAAGAUUUUAUUGUCUACAAAUUGGUAAGAGCCCAAAAGAGCGACAGGUACACCAUCAGAAAGAGCAAAGAAAAUGAAUGAUUUAAAUACCAUCACUUGCUCAUCUGAUAUAACUAAACCCCCUUCCUUUGUAUUUUGGUUGCUAU